GAUACAGGCUACAAGAUCAAUGUAAAAUAACUUAAUUAUGUUUCUAUACACUAACAACAAACUAAAAUUUAAAUUAAAAUGGCAUAAAAAGUUCAAUAUUUAAGGUAAAUCUGCUAAAAUAUGUGUAUGAUCUCUACAUUGAAACAAUAAACUAUUGUUGAGAUAGAUUAACACUAUUCAUAAAAGAAAAAAAUUAAUGUGUGUUUUUUUUUUUCAGACGGAGUUUCACUCUUGUUACCCAGGCUGGAGUGCAAUGGCUCACCGCAACCUCCGCCUCCUGGGUUCAGGCAAUUCUCCUGCCUCAGCCUCCUGAGUAGGUGGGAUUACAGGCACACGCCACCAUGCCCAGCUAAUUUUUUGUAUUUUUAGUAGAGAUGGGGUUUCACCAUGUUGACCAGGAUGGUCUCAAUCUCUUGACUUCGUGAUCCACCCGCCUCGGCCUCCCAAAGUUCUGGGAUUACAGGAGUGAGCCACUGCGCCCAGCCAUGUUUGAUAUUUAUUAAAAUUAAAACUUACUGAUUUUAGAAAGGCAUUGCUAAGAAAAUAAAAAACAAGCCACAGAAUGGGAGAAAAUAGAAUCACUGUCUGGCAAGAACCUUGUUUCCAGAUUAUAUAAAGAACUCACAACUCUGUUUCUUUUUUUUUUUAUUUUCUGUUUCUUUUUUUUUUGAGACAGGGUUUCACUCUUUUUGCCCAGCUUGGAGUGCGAUGGCAUGAUCUCGGCUCACUGCAACCUCCACCUCCUAGGUUCAAGUGAUUUUCCAGCCCCAGCCUCCCGAGUAGCUGGGAUUACAGAUGGCGUCUCCCUCUGUCAACCAGGCUGGUGGGCAGUGGUGCAAUCUUAGCUGACUGCAGCCUUGACCUCCUCAGAUCGAGCUAGCUGGGACUACAGGUGUGUAUUACCAUGUCUAGCAAAUUUUUGUAUGUUUUGUAGAGAUAGGAUUUCACCAUGCCCAGGCUGGUUUUUUUGGUUCUGUUUUCUUUUUCUGAGAUGGAGUCUUGCUCUGUUGCCCAGGCUGGAGUGCAGUGGCGCGAUCUCGGCUCAC
rnacentral:lncRNA from 1 species